AUACGGAGGAUCCGAGCGUUAUCCGGAUUUAUUGGGUUUAAAGGGUGCGCAGGCGGCCAUUUAAGUCAGCGGUUAAAUCGUGGGGCUCAACCCCAUUCUGCCGUUGAUACUGGGUGGCUUGAUUGCGGUCGAGGUUGGCGGAAUUCGUUGUGUAGCGGGUAAAUGCAUAGAUAUGACGAAGAACACCGAUUGCGUAGGCAGCUGACCAGACCGCAAAUGACGCUCAUGCACGAAAGUGCGGGGAUCGAACAGGAUUAGAUACCCUGGUAGUCCGCACAGUAAACGAUGAAUACUUGUUUUCGGCGAUAUAAUGUCGGAGGCAAAGCGAAAGCGAUAAGUAUUCCACCUGGGGAGUACGCCGGCAACGGUGAAACUCAAAGGAAUUGACGGGG
rnacentral:rRNA from 1 species